AACCUGGAGUCGACUCCCCAAUGUCUAGAGCUGACCCGGCACUUUUGGAGACGACUCGUUCUAAGGAAUCCAGAGAUCUUUCUUUCAAGUUUGCUCACUCGAGUCGACUCGGAUAUUCUGGGAGUCGACUCGGCACUCAGAGCCCGAAAUCCCGAUCUUCUGUCUGUUGACCUGUGCUGUCUCGGAGUCGACUCGAACUGUCUCGGAGUCGACUCGGCUCUCAGAGACGAAAAUACAGUCUUCUGUCUUGGGGUUGCGCUGCCUUGGAGUCGACUCGAACUUUGCGGGAGUCGACUCGGC
rnacentral:lncRNA from 1 species